CCUACUUAAUAUAAAGUUGAUUCUUGAAUGGAAUAAGAAAUAGGGAGGAGAAAGGAAAUAAAGGUUGUGUAAAAUACACAAUAAUUUUAUACAAUGUAUCUUAACAGACUGCUAGAGAUAAAAAAAAAAAAAUUUACACAUCACUUGUAUAUUUUGUACAAAAGAAUAUUUUUCUAUUAGAGAGGUCAAAAUAAUCAAGAUCAAAUACUCUAUCCCUGUAUAGUUUGCUCAAAAUGUUAGGGGGUCACUGUAAUUUAUUUCAAAGUCCUCUUUUCUAUUACCAACAUGUUUAAAAGCAAAAUUUCAAAACAAAUGUAGUUCCCUUCGCUCUUAUUCUUGUUUGGGUCGCUGCUCUGCUCUGCUCUGCUCUUACACUCCGUGUUUGUUACGCGCUCUCUAUCGACGAUAAUUAUUAACAAGAUGUUUCAAGGAGAUGGAGCAAAAGAGUGGAGAGUGGCUUGUAUGUUCUUACUCUUGUAAGUGUUCAUUAAUCUUUGGACCAUGUUUGAUCUUCCAAUGCACAUAGGUAUAAGAUUUCAAGUAUUCUAUAUCAGUUCACACCACCUGUUUGAUGAAUUUCCUCAGAGAACGUGAUUAUUUGUUUAUGUAACAGUUGGAAUGUUCUUGCACGUAUCAUGUUUACUUGGCACUGUGAUUGAAGCUCACGCACAGAUUUAUUGAAAAUUCAAGCAUUAUGUUUUCACUUGCUUGUCUGGUUCGAUGAUUGCCUUGGGAAAAAUGUCAUUCUCGCUGAAAUCGAAAUGGCCAAGUUUGUUGCUGAAAACUAUCAAUGCCCAGAAACCAAGACAGUGUUUUUCUUCUCUCUACUGCACAAUGCUGGAAUACCAAUCAUCUAUGGACUUAGAUGAGUUAUGUAGUGUUGUUUCAAGUGGAGUUGGUGGUUUAGACGAUUUGGAAGCGAGUCUUAACAAGUUAACUUUGCCUUUGACUUCAUCUCUUGUUACCCAAGUCCUUGAUUCUUGUAAAAAUGAAGCACCCACUAGAAAACUUCUCAGGUUCUUCUUGUGGUCUAGCAAAAAUUUAAACCAUGAAUUGGAAGAUAAGGAUUUCAAUCAUGCAAUUCGGGUGUUUGCAGAGCAAAAGGACUUCACGGCAAUGGACAUCAUGAUAUCAGAUCUCCUAAAGGAAGGUCGGGUAAUGGAGGCCUCGACUUUUAGUCUUGUAGCUGAGACAUUGGUUAAAAUGGGGAGGGAAGAUGAAGCUUUGGGCAUUUUUAAGAACUUGGACAAGUUCAAGUGCCCACAAGAUGAAGUUACAGUCACUGCCAUUGUUACUGCUCUUUGCGCCAAAGGGCAUGCUAAAAGAGCUGAAGGGGUUGUUUGGCACCAUAAGGAUAAGAUUUCAGGUGUAAAGCCUUGUAUUUAUAGGACACUCCUUUAUGGGUGGUCUGAGUUGGAGAAAGUAAAGGAAGCGCGGAGAAUUAUUAAAGAGAUGAAGUCCGAUGGAAUUAUGCCGGACCUUUUUUGCUAUAAUACAUUCCUCAGGUGCCUUUGCGAGCGAAACCUGAAAUCAAAUCCAUCUGGUCUUGUUCCCGAAUCUUUAAAUGUGAUGAUAGAAAUGAGGUCUCAUGGUAUCGUACCUAAUUCGAUCAGUUACAAUAUAUUGCUCUCUUGUUUGGGUAGAACACGGAGGGUCAAGGAAUCUCUCCGCAUUUUUUAUUUGAUGAGAAAAUCGGGUUGUUUGCCUGAUUGGACCAGCUAUUAUCUUGUUGCUAGAGUUUUGUAUUUGACAGGGAGAUUCGGUAAAGGUAAGCAAAUUGUAGAUAAGAUGAUUGACGAGGGGUUGGUGCCAGAACGUAAAUUUUAUUAUGAUUUAAUUGGCAUUCUCUGUGGAGUUGAGAGGGCAAAUUAUGCCCUUGAGCUGUUAGAGCAAAUGAAGAAAAGCUCAUUAGGUGGCUAUGGGCCAGUAUAUGAUUUGCUUAUCCCAAAGCUUUGUAGAGGAGGAGAUUUUGAACAGGGCAGAAAGCUCUGGGAUGAGGCGACGACUAUGGGUGUCACUCUUCAAUGUUCAAGAGAUGUGUUGGACCCCUCAGUCACUGAGGUUUUUAAGCCAAUCAGGAAGGUGAGGGAAGAAGUUUACCUUGUGGAAAUCAGACCUAGAGCUCGAAUGCAAGCAGCAAAGACUAGGGGAAAAGGGAAGAAGAGAAAAAAGAAAAGGAAGAACACUUCAACUUAAUUUGCACAUCUCUGAUUAGAAGGAGGUCUCAGAAUUACUUUUACAACAAAGGGAAGAUUUUGCCAUCAAAAUCAAUGCAUAUUCCGUGUGUUGCUUCAGUGUGUAUGAUAGAGGCUUAGCCGUGGGAGAGGCAAAAGAGAUGUAAUGCUGAUUUAGAUGACCUGAAUAAUGUAAGUACCGAGUUGCUAUAGUUACUAUGAGUUUAAGCUAGAAAGCAAUUUAUUAUAUCCUGAAGGUGGUAAUGGAGCAGUCCAUUUAGGGAGGCAUGAUCUCCAGGUUGAGGUUGUGGAAUUGAAGACCAACCUUCCUCACUUUUCCAUAUCCUGUUGCGGGAUGUUAGUUUGUUUUUCAAAUGUGUGAAGACCAAAAAAAAAAAAACAUGGGGUGUCUGGGGGCUUCGCCCCAACUAAUUCCCAAGGAUCUAGGAAGGGCGCCUCCGCACCCGAGGCCGGAAAAGUCGUGGAGUAUGGCCGCGGAAGCAUAGCCCCAAGGAAAUUGUUUGCACUCCAUGGGAGUCGAACCUCAGACUUAAAUAUUUAAUGCUUCAUGAGGCACCAGGGCCAAGUGAUCUUGCCAGUUGGGCUAACCCCUUGGGGUUGUUUUGGUAGAUUCUUACCUGUGUAGUUCCUAUUAAUUGAAAACAUAUGUUCAUCUCAAGAUUUGGCAUCCUGGAACCUAUGAUUAAAUUUAGAAAAUAAUAAGA